GUUUAUUUAGUAUAUUAUUAUAAUUGACUUCCAAUCAAUUGAACCUUUUAUUGGGAAUAAACA
rnacentral:tRNA from 1 species